UACUAUGGUGCUUGACACAUAGCAAGUGUUUAACGAAUGCUGCAAUUAUUAUUCCCAAGAGGGAAAUUUCUCCUUCAGACUGAAUUACCACCUGUGACUUCUACUGCCUCAGAAGCUUCUUGACAGCUGCUGCCUAGGUGUCCAGCCUGAAGAACUGACUUCGAGUUCCCACACUUUUAAGAAGAAGUCCUUUAAAAAGUCCAAAGGGUGCAGCGUCUGCAAGCAAGUUAUUGAGAGACAAGGUAUUUCAUGCCAAGUGUGCAAGUAUUCCUGUCACAAGAAAUGUGAAGCAAAAGUGGUGACACCCUGUUUCCUGCCAGUCAACCUCG